AUGGUAGGUUCACAGUCCAACUCCAAGACUGUGGAGCAACAGCCAGAGUCUGACCCAGUAGAUUCAGGAGACUCUGUGACUCUGCAGUGUACAGUAAUCUCUGAGACCUCUAGAGGAGAACACAAUGUGUACUGGUUCAGAGCUGGAUCAGGAGACUCCCAUCCAGGAGUCAUUUACACCCCUGGGAACAGGAACGGGAUGUGUAAGAAGAGCCCUGAGACUCCUUCUACUACACAGAGCUGUGUCUACAGCCUCUCCAAGAACAACCUCAGCCCCUCUGAUGCUGGGACUUACUACUGUGCUGUGGCCACAUGUGGUGAGAUCCUGUUUGGCAAUGGAACAAAACUGGAUGUCAAAGGUAGUUUUAAUGAGAUGGGAAGAAGCCUAGUAACCUUAAAACUGAAUUAUACUGCAGCAUAAUCACAAAUAGAGGUCAACAAUGAAUUAAAAUGCCUACUACGAUAUUUGCGCAUUUAUAUGGAACUUACAAUGCAGUCUUUUAAAAGGUUGGACAAAGAAGUUCCUGUUGUUCAUUAUUAUUAUUUUGUUAUUAGAUCAUAAAAAGCUGUUUUCAUUGUAUUGUUAUUAUGUUCACCAUGUAUUUGUAGUAGGGAUGGACUGUAAUGCACUGGUUCCAGUUGGUAUUAGUCUGUGUGGACCAUUAAUGCUGAAUGCUGUGUUACUGUUCUUCAUCCACUCAAGUCAAAAGGAACCAAACGGUGAGCAUUAAAACCAGUGCUGUAAUUUAAAAGCUGGUGCUAUAAUUCGACAGUUUCUUGACUACAUGACAUGUUGAAUUUUAAACAAUGAAUUCAUGUAAUUACAUUUAUCCAAUGCAUCAUGUUUGGAGGCUAUUCACAGUUGAACCAUUUUGUUUUUUUAAAUACUGUUGUUCUUUUGUACACAGUUUCGUUAGAAAAAUUACUUACUUGUUUGAAAAUGAUCCUUUAGUCUAAUAAAUGUUUGUGUGAUUUAUUAGUGUCCUCAGCAACCAGUCUAGAGACAA